rnacentral:tRNA from 1 species
GUUGGAAUAGCUCAGUUGGUUAGAGCGUGUGGCUGUUAACUAUAAGGUUGGAGGUUCAAACCCUCCUUUUAGCG